CGCACUCGCAUGGCCCGGCGGCACGCCUGCGCCUGCGCCUGUCUGGCCAUGCCUCCCCCACCCCCAGCAGCGUCUUUCUGCCUGUUGCGCCCGGGUGUGUGCGCUGGGCCGGGCAGUCAGUCGAGAGGGACUGGCGAGACUCACCCGACAGAGAUAGGAGAAGCCCUUGCCGUGUCCUGAGGAUGGGUAAGCAGCCCGGUGGAGAGAGCUAAUCAGUGAGAAACUGAGACUGCCUGCAGUCUUGGGAAGGAGCCACCUUACAGGCAGAUCCUCCAGCCUGAGUCAAGCCUUCAGAUGACUGCAGAGACAUCUUGACCACAACCUCUGGAGUGAUUCUGAACCAGAACCACGCAGCUAAGCCACUCCCACAUUCCUGACUGCCAGAAAUUGAGUAACAUAAUGACUGUGGUUUUAGGCUGCUAUAUCUGGAGCAAUUUGUUCAACAGGAGUAGUACCUACCUGAAGUAUUAAUAGUUGUUGAGACUCACCUUUCUCACCCUUCACUUGAUGGUGCUGUUGUGCAACUUCACACUCCUAUGGAGACACCUUAUCUCACCAUACACUAGGUGUGUAACUUCCUGCCUAGUGCAUGCUGGGAAUCAGGCCCUUGACCACAGUUUCACAAACCUCUAGCUGAUCUCUGGCUACUUGUGAGAUAAAGUAUUUUUACCCUUUAACAAAUACUUAAUUUUGAUAAACAUUUCAUUUUUCACAAAUAGGUAGAAAAAUAUUUGUCACAAUAUUCCAUCUAUAUAUCCCAUUAAGCAGACUAAAUAUCCAAUAUUACAUGCAUUUAUUGCUUGAUUUUGAAGACUAAAAAUCCCAUUAAAAUGACACAUGCUUUAAUAGGGGUCAUUAUGAUCAAAAUUUUCCAAUCAGUAUUAUUUUUAUUAACACCAUAAAAGCAUCUCAAAAAAGCUUCUCUUCUUAACUUUUUGUAAAUUGUGAUCAAGAGGAUUCAUAUAAAUCGCAUAAUUUCAACAAAAAUAUCUAUUUCUUGUGAAAAAUAUUCAUCUCUUCAAUUAUGAUGCAAAUUGGAAGGUUAUCCUUAUAAAUAGUAGUUUAUAGCCUGGUUAGCCAAUGACCAUUUAAACGUUUCAGUCUGGAAAGACACAUUUUCAAGAAGAAAAAUGUAGAGCUUGGGUUUUCACAAGAUGAUCUCAUUUAGAAUUUUUAACUUAUAGUUCAAUUAAACAAAGUAUCUCAGUUUAAUCUGCUUGUAUUUGAAGAUAAAUGUGCACAUUUUCUUUAUGCUUUAUCAAGGAAACAAUUUUUAAAACUUGAUGGAAUUCUGCUUUGGAUAUUUUUAUGAUUAGUCAUUCAUUGCUGCCCAGGAUAUUCUUAUACUGUUUUCAAAACAGGUAGUAAAUCCCACUAGUUCUAAAAGAGAAAAUGACAACUUUCUGAUUUAUCCUCCAACAAUUGUUACUUUUUGCCUCAUAAAUUGUUUCCAUUAAGACAAGAGAUAAAAAGCAAGAUUUGAGAGAGGUUCAUGGAUCAACUGGAACAAUCUGCUUAGUUCUACAGAAUGGAGUUUCUGGGCAUCAUUCUCCAUUUCUGUGCACAGAGUGCUGUGAUGCACAAGAAGAAACAGCUCAGUUCAGGCACAGAGUGCACUACCCUGCUGCUCUUUCAUCUGGUAGAUGAGAACGAAACGCCCUGACGCUGUCUCUUGGGCUCUUCUAUGUUUCUUCUAGAUUUCGGCCCUAAUUCUUCGUGAUCCUAUUGUUUUUAAUUGGGUUAUUUGUUUGUUUGUUUGUUUUGAGAUGGAGUCUUGCUCUGUUGCUCAGGCUAGAGUGCAGUGGCACGAUCUCGGCUCACUGCAGCCUCCACUUUCUGGGUUCAAGCGAUUCUCCUCCCUCAGCCUCCUGAGUAGCUGGGAUUACAGCAUGCCCCUCCAUGUCUGGCUAAUUUUUGUAUUUUUAGUAGAGAUUGGGUUUCACGAUGUUGGCCAGGCUGGUCUUGAACUCCCAACUUAGGUGAUCCACCUGCCUUGGCCUCCAAAAGUGCUGGGAUUAUAGGUGUGAGUCACAGCCCCCGGCCUUUUGUUUGAUUUUCUGAGACAGAGUCUCACUCUGUCACCCAGGCUGGAGUACAGUGUUGUGAUCACAGCUCACUUCAGCCUCCACCUUCCAGGCUCAACUCAUUCUCCUACCACAGCCUUCCUGCUAGCUGGGACUACAGGCAUGCACCACCACACCUGCCUGGCUAACUUUUAUUUAUUUAUUUGUAGAGACAGAGUCUCACCAUUUUGCCCAGGCUGGUUUUGAAUUCCUGGGCCCAAGGAUCCACCUGUCUUGGCCUCCCAAAGUGCUGGGAUUAUAGGCCUGAGCCACUGCACCAAGCUAAAUGGGGCCUUUUUAAUGGUGACAAAGACCAGGUGUUUUUCAGUUUUUGAGACUCUCAAUAUAUUUAAAAAAUAAAGAAAUACCAACUCAGGGUUAUAAAAAAUUUAAGUGUUAAAUACUUUCAACAUCCACAUUUAACAAAGUAUGUUUAUUAAACACAGAAAUAUAAGACAAUAUAAUGAUAUGAAUUAUAAGAUAAAGGAUUUGUGAGCGACAUUAAGUUCAUUGUAUAUAGUCAUUACUACUGUGGUCUGUUAAUGAGACACAAGUUUAAAGUUACUUUGAAGGAUGUCUUCUUUCAAUUCUCUUUGUAUAUCUCUGUAACUACUUCUGUACCCUCAGAGAUGAUGUUUCAGUUUAAACUUGUGAAUGUGAAAUAUGAGCCAAAAGACUCUCUGGGCCCUGAAAUGACCUUUGUAGCAGAUGCUGCCAGAGUCCUUCUCUUAUCCUCUCUGGACUCUUCACCUAACCUGAUGUCAGCUGCCAGUAUGUGCAUCUCCUUGCCUGAGGGCUUUUCUGGUGGCAGGAGUCCUUGCUACUCACAGAAAUGGUCACCAGAAGUGCCAGAAAAUUAAUUUCCCUUGGCCAGCAGUCCUCAGCCAGCUCCUCGCUGACACUGAUGUGCAGGUGUCUCCUAUGCUGGUUGCUGGAAUCAACCACAAUAGCAGCCUUCUUGAAAACAUAGCCUUCACUGGCUGCCUUCCUUUCCAUCUCCCUUCUUCAUUGCCCUACCUGUGUCUCCUGGGCUUUCCUUUCAAAUAAACAGCUUGCUCU